CUUACAUUAUAUUGAUCACUCUUAAACGAACAAGAGACUUUUGUAUCUUAAUUUGGUACAAUAAAACAACAAUAUAUAUAUAUAUAUAGACGGGUUUAAAUUGUUUUGAUUUUGUCCGUUAAUGUACGCAUGCGCACUAUUUGGCAGUCAAAAAACUUUGUUGUUUAUCUAUUUUUUAGUGGAUUUCGUAUAAAACUUAUGAAGAUGUGAUCGAAUUCUUCGUAUUUUAAUACACUAAACAAAAGUGAUCAACUAGAUUACAAGAAAAAAUUGACAUAAGGAAACGUUGGCAGACGAAAAUAAGGAAACGUUGCCAGACCCGUAUUCAAUCGAUAAACCUUAUUGGAGUACAGAUUUGACAAAAAUACCAGAUAUAUCUUGGGGUGACGUUUAUAAUUACCUUAUCAAUUCUACAAGUGAGUACACCCAUGAAAAGCUUAAAACUUUUAAGUCUCUUGAGGCCUAUAACUUUUUUUAAUGACAUUUAUUACUAUGAAGUUUCGAAAGAUUGUGAAUUCUGCUUUUUAAAAUCAAAGGUUCUUCUAAGUCAAAGGCAAGGAUAAAAUCAAAAACUAUAUAGUGUUUGGGUUGUUCUUCAUAAAAAAAUUGGAUAUAUUUUAACUGGCAAUUGUAAAUGCAUGGCAGGUCUGGGAACUGUAUGCAGCCAUGUGGCUGCAUUGCUGUUUAAGAUCGAAGCAUGCAUUCGAACUAAAGUUCAUAAGACUGCGGUGACUAGUAAAUUGUGUCAAUGGAACCAAAUAAAAAGAAAAGCAGAAGCAUCAUCAUUGCAAAAUAUAUCUUUCAAUAGACCAAAACUUAACGAUUUACCAAUUGAAAGGACAUUGUCUAACAAUAAUAGUAAAAAUUAUACUGUCAAUGCAGAACUUCAUUAUAAAUUUAGGUGUAGAUAAAGUCAUAGAACUGCAAAAAAUUAUGCCUAAAGCAGCUUAUUUUAACUAUGUAAAUGUCUUGGAACUUUCCUAUGAUACUGAGGGUACUUUAACAUCUGAUGAGAAUGAAGAAAAUCUAUGUCCAGAACCUCUUACUAGUCUAUUUGACUAUGAAGCAAUCAAUUUAGAUAGUGCCACUCUCAAAGAUAUAUGUAAUUUAAAAUAUGAAGAAUACAAAUCAACUUACACUUCAAAAUCAUUUAAUUUUUUAUCUGAAAAUACUAAACUGCAAAGUUUAUCUAGUGCAUGGAAUAUUCACAGAGCAGGCAGAAUUACAGCAUCUAAUUUUUAUGAAGUUAUGCAUUUUAAAUAUAAAAACUCAAAUUUAACGUAUCCUUCUUGUUUUGGGCAGCUUCUGGGUUGUUUGCAAGAUAUUUGCGGAUUUGGGCAAUCAGGUUAGUUUGAGGAAUUAUUUGGAAAUCGGAAAAAUGGAAAUUGAUCCCUCAUAGAGAUAUUGGCUAUAAAACAAAUUCAAAAUAGUGAAUUUUGAGUUUUAUAAUGCUAUUUUGUUCAGAUAUCUCAGCACCACAAAAAACACCAAAUUUGUUUAUGCUGCAUUUAUACUUCUUGUAUUGAAGACGCAUACCUAAAAAUGUCAAAUUUUGAAUUAACUGUACAUCCUGUCAAUUUUCUGUCCGUAAAUUGACCAACAAGUUUCCCAAAAUAGACUAUGUCUUUAAUAUUUGAAAUUAUUUUGAAAGAAAAAUUUAUUUGUUAUUAAGUUGAAAUUCUGAAGAAAUCUUUUUAGUCCAUAAAACCUACAGAAGGUAUACAUUUCAAGAAAAUAAAACAUUGUCACAAGAGAAGGCUUGGCUCAUCUUAUAUGGAAUGACCCUAUUAUAUGCUUAUGAUAUAUAAACUUUAUACUAUAAUAGUAUUAUUAUUGUAAUAUAUAUUAUAUGAUAUUUUUAUAAUAAAUUUUUUCUAGUAAUAUAAUAUAAAUUAGUGUAGUAUUAUUAAACUAAUUAAAUUGUGCCAAAUAAUGUUGUUUAAUAAUGUUGUUUAAUACUUGUGUAAUAAUGGUGUUUACCUCUUACUGUCUGACCUGUCUGUUUAUUAUUACUGUUUUUAACAUUAAUUUUGUAUUGCAAGUAUUAAAAAAUGUUAAAUAUACUAUUUGUAAAAUUAACGUAGUAUAAACUAAUAAUAACUGCUUUACUUAUUUCUACAAUAGUUAAUAGUUGAAAAUAAUAAAGGCUGUUGUUGUCAAAUUUCUUGGGGAAAGAAAAUUGUUCUUGCUUGUAAUAUUGCUGAUAUUUUAACUAGUGUGAUUCAUUACAUGAAUACUUAUGCCAAAGCUUAAAUGGUCCACAAGUUAUGAAAUGGAUGUUCAGCCCUUGAUCAGUACAUAUAGUGGUUGUUUUGAUGGUUGUUUACUAUUUGCUAGAUUUGACAUAUUCUUUUUUUGGGCGGCUUCUGGGAUGUUAGCAAGAUAUUUGAGACUUUUUGCAAUUGGCUUAUUAUCUAAAAAAAGCAUUUUUCCUCUGCAAUCAUUGCAAAGCAAUGCAAAUUACUUUUGAAUUUAUAAAUGUUAAUAAGUUAUUUUAUUCAAUUAUUUUGUAAAUAAUUUAUUCAAUUAUUUUGUAAAUA